UCCAUUUUUGAAAAGUUGACCUUGUAAACUCAAAAUUGAGAUCUUUCCGCCAUAACAAUAACAAAUUCCGUGAAAUCGGUGAUUAUAGAAAACCGACUUCGCCAAUAAACCUUUGUGACCUCGUUCCUUAAUUACCUGAUAAUCUGAUCUCUCCGUUCCUUAGUGCUACUCCGUGAUCGUCACAGAGCUCCGUCUCCAGCCAUGAACUAACAUUUACUAGUGUCGUGACCACCUCGUAACAUGUGCAUUCUAUACGAGUGAGUUUGAUUCACAACCAGCCUAGCUGCCUUACUCAAACCGUAAAACCACCGUUGCUGCUCACCAUACUUCAGUUCCGUGUGACUACCCGAUGGUCUCCGGCCAACUCCGUUUGAUUACUAAGGUCCACGUAUUUGUUAAAGACGAUUCACUUUGCUUUGCUUGCUAAUAAGGUAAUAUGGGAUAAUCUGGGAUUUCAGUGAGGAGUGUUAGGAGGUUGCUGGCAAGAUUGUUUAUUUCAGUAAUGUAAUAAAUCUAAUUAGGAUCUUUUUUCAAUGCUAUGGAUGGGUUUUUAGUUUUGAUAUCUGUAAGAGUGACACGUUAGCCCUAGCUUGGUUGGGGUGUUACAUAUGAUCCUUAACAACUUUAAUUUUAUUCAUUAUUUAUAUAGGUGACCCUUAUCCUUUGACAACAGGAUUUAUGAUCCUUAAACUAUACUACUUUUUAGAAUUUGUCGAUUAUAGGAUAUUUGAUCCUUGAUCAUAUCCUAAACUUUUUGAGAAGAUUUGUUAAACUUUUCUUCUUUACUUAGUAAAUUCAAACAAAAUACAUCAUAACAACUGGAAGAUAUCCAAAUGAAACAACACAUGAUAAGCCAAAAAGAUUAAAGUUUUAUUUAGUCACAAAAGGUUAAACCCUUGAAGGUUGUCAAAAUUGCCAACCCAAGUUUCUACCAGCAAAACGUGGCCCGUCCACUUGGGUUGGUGAUACGCGCAAAAUGCAACAUAUAAAUUAUAUCAAAUAUGGCAUAAAACUAACCCUUUUUAGUACUAAUGUUGGAAAAAGUGUGUUUUUGUCUUCCUUUUGUAUUUUCAGGAUUAAAUGAGCUCAAAUUAACAAAAGGAGCAAAAAGACAGCAAAAUCUAACAUAAAUACAAGAAAAGGGACUAAAGUGGAUUGUCCGACACCUCGACAGCAUCCUCCCAAGCAAAACAAAGAAGACAGAAGACUGAACACGCCCCGUGCUCAGCGAGCACGGGGCUGUGCCCAAGAAGCAGCAGAAAAGAUAAACUAAUAGAAGCUUCUAUUGCCCGCCGCGGGGCCGUGCCCAGCGGACACGGAGGCAUGGUCAGAGUACUGCAGGCGCAUUUAUUUUAAUUGCGAAUUACAAUUAAUGAAGAGAGAGAGUGUCAGACGGCCACGGGGCCGUGCGCAGGCUUCUAUUCAGCCUAUAAAUAGGAGUGCUUGGAGCCAUUUCAACUCAUCCCUUGGCACACCACCUCUCUCACACUUCACCCACCACCCACCACCACCAUAACACCAUCAUCCACCACCAUCAUCCAUUGUCCAUCAUAGAGUGUGUGAGUCGUCUCGGGAUCCAAGAUUGAUCGUAAGAGUUCUUAACAAUCAAAGGCUAUGUUUGCCUAAGUCUCUUACAUCACUUGGUGAAGACAAGUGUCUAGUGUAAUACUUUUUAAUUUUAAUCUUUUGCACUUUUUAUUUGGUUUUGUAUUAAUGACUUUAAUAACUAGUUUCUUAUGUU
rnacentral:lncRNA from 1 species